rnacentral:rRNA from 1 species
GACGAACGCUGGCGGCGUGCUUAACACAUGCAAGUCGAACGGAAAGGCCCUGCAUUUGUGGGGUGCUCGAGUGGCGAACGGGUGAGUAACACGUGAGUAACCUGCCCUUGACUUUGGGAUAACUUCAGGAAACUGGGGCUAAUACCGGAUAGGAGCUCCUGCUGCAUGGUGGGGGUUGGAAAGUUUCGGCGGUUGGGGAUGGACUCGCGGCUUAUCAGCUGGUUGGUGGGGUAGUGGCUUACCAAGGCUUUGACGGGUAGCCGGCCUGAGAGGGUGACCGGCCACAUUGGGACUGCGAUACGGCCCAGAAUCCUCCGGGAGGCAGCAGUGGGGAAUAUUGCACAAUGGGCGGAAGCCUGAUGCAGCAACGCCGCGUGCGGGAUGACGGCCUUCGGGUUGUAAACCGCUUUCGCCUGUGACGAAGCGUGAGUGACGGUAAUGGGUAAAGAAGCACCGGCUAACUACGUG